GACGAACGCUGGCGGCGUGCCUAACACAUGCAAGUCGAACGGAGAUAUGAUUUCGGUUGUAUCUUAGUGGCGAACGGGUGAGUAACGCGUGAGCAACCUGACUCUUAGAGGGGGAUAACACCCGGAAACGGGUGCUAAUACCGCAUAAGACCACGACAUGGCAUCAUGACGAGGUCAAAGGAGCAAUCCGCUGAGAGAGGGGCUCGCGUCCCAUUAGAUAGAUGGCGGGGUAACGGCCCACCAUGUCAACGAUGGGUAGCCGAGCUGAGAGGCUGAUCGGCCACACUGGAGCUGUGACACGGUCCAGACUCCUCCGGGAGGCAGCAGUGGGGAAUAUUGGGCAAUGGGCGCAAGCCUGACCCAGCAACGCCGCGUGAGGGAAGAAGGCUUUCGGGUUGUAAACCUCUGUCCUUGGUGACGAAACAAAUGACGGUAGCCAAGGAGGAAGCCCCGGCUAACUACGUGCCAGCCGCCGCAGUAA
rnacentral:rRNA from 1 species